rnacentral:rRNA from 1 species
GCAAGUUCGAACGAGAAAGUGGAGCUUGCUUCACGAAGUAAAGUGGCAGACGGGUGAGUAACACGUGAACAACCUACCCUCGAGCUGGGGAAUAACACCGCGAAAGCGGUGCUAAUACCGCAUAAUAUCUCUGAACCGCAUGGUUUUGAGAUCAAAAGCGCAAGUUGCUUGAGGAGGGGUUCGCGCCUGAUUAGCUUGUUGGUGAGGUAACGGCUCACCAAGGCUGCGAUCAGUAGCCGGCCUGAGAGGGUGAACGGCCACACUGGAACUGAGACACGGUCCAGACUCCUACGGGAGGCAGCAGUGGGGAAUUUUGCGCAAUGGGCGAAAGCCUGACGCAGCAACGCCGCGUGGAGGAUGAAGGCCCUCGGGUCGUAAACUCCUGUCAGUGGGGACGAAUGCUUCGUAAGAAGUUUGACUGUACCCAUUGAGGAAGCCACGGCUAACUCCGUGCCAGCAGCCGCGGUAAUACGGAGGUGGCAAGCGUUGUUCGGAAUUACUGGGCGUAAAGGGCGCGUAGGCUGUUUUACAAGUCAGAUGUGAAAUCCCCGAGCUUAACUUGGGAAUUGCAUCUGAAACUGUUGAACUUGAGUCCUGGAGGGGGUAGCGGAAUUCCCAGUGUAGCGGUGAAAUGCGUANAUAUUGGGGAGGAACACCUGCGGCGAAGGCGGCUACCUGGAACAGUGACUGACGCUGAGGCGCGAAA